UGGCCAACACUGAUGCUUGUUUAAAUGGAUAAAGAGAGCAAAAAAGAAAAACAUCACUGUGCAAAAUGAUAUGUGUGUGUGUGGAGAUGUACUUUCAAAGUGCAAGUCUGAGACAACACACUCUGUACAGCCUUUCAACAGCAGGUGUUUAUUAGCAUUACAGUUUUGUAUCAACACAAGUUGCUUCUGGUAUAUCUUUAAUACAUUUCAUUUAAAAAGUAAUACUAGCUGUGUACUGUGCCAGGCCGUGUUCUGUGCUGCUUUGAAAACAAUGCGUCUGUGUUUUACAUGAAACAGAGUAAGUACAAACAGCCAUAAAGCAUUAUACAGACAAUUGAAAAAGAAAGAAAGAAAAAGGAAAGAAAAAAAAAAAAAGCCCCAAAAGUCAGCACAGGAAACAGGAAGUAAGGAGAGGACUUGUGAGAGCGCUCACUGUUUUAAAGAGUAAAUCAACCGUGGUUCAUAAACCAAAAACCUAAUCUAAUAUCCAUCACAAUUUCUUGGCCCCUCUUCUUCUUCUUCUUCUUCUUCUUCUUGGUCUCCCUCAGUCAUGCUUCCUCUGCAGGACUUCUUGGACCUGGCUCUUCUCCAAGCAGUUGAGGCGCGUUGGCCCCUCGUCACUCUGGGCUCUAAUCUGCAGGGCCCCUCUAGCUGGUAUAACUCAGCAGAGACUAAUAAAGGUUGGUGCAGUUUGGUAGUCCCACAGAGAGCAUCCUUCUGUUUCGUCGAAGAAGAGAAAACCAUCAUCAUCUGAGACCGGUUUGUGUUUGGAGACCCUGCUCCUGGAGGCCAGGGAGAUGUGGAUGUACAGGACGGUCAUAAUAAUGACGGGAAGGUAGAACGCUGCUAUGGCCGUCCCAAACGUCACCACGGGGUUAGAAAGGAACUGAAGAAAGAAAGAAAGAAAGACACCUUUCCUUUAUCCAAUCAGCCAGUCAGUCAUGGUUUGAAUGCCUCAGCCUAUCAGAGUAUUGUUAUUAACCAUGUUUAUCUCUAUAUUUAGUAAAGGACAGGUAAAUUUUAUUGUCCUCUACCUGAAUAUAACACUCUCCAGGUGGCACCGUCCUCUGUCCAACGAUAAACUGCCAGAACAGGAUGGCAGGAGCCCAGAGGAUGAACGACAGGAUCCACGCCGCCGCGAUCAUCAACCCUGCCAUCUUGGUUGUCCUCCUUGUCGGGUAGGUGAGCGGCUUGGUCACGCAGAAGUAGCGGUCGAAGCUGAUGAUCAGUAAAUUCAUCACUGAGGCGUUUGAGACGACGUAAUCUAAAGCCAGCCACAAGUCGCAGACCACGGGCCCGAGCGGCCAGUAGCCCACGAUGAUGUAGACCGUGUACAGAUUCAUGCUGAAAACACCAAUGAUCAAGUCGGCACACGCUAAUGAAAACAGGAAAUAGUUAUUGACAGUUUGUAGGUGGCGGUUUACUUUGAUGGAUAACAUGACUAAUAUAUUUCCUGUCACAGUCACAAAGCUCAGAGAUCCCGUAACCAGGGCGAUAAAAAACAUCUCCAGAGCUUUAUAUGGACUUCCUGCUCCCAUUCCAUCGUCCACAGGGGAGCAGGAUGCUGAGUCGUUGGUGGACAUGUUGCAUGUGGCGUUGGAGAACAGGUCAGCUGAUUGGUUGACCGAUGACCCUGGAUGGAGGAAGAAAGAGAAUGAGGUAAGAAGAUGAAGUCAUUUGGCGACAACCUGAAAAGAUCGGGCUAUGACAAACUGACAUAGAGGAGGACGGUGUCUUGUCUGGUUGUCUGGCAUUGUCUCCCUACACACACAAAGAGAAUCUCAGUCCAGACUGUUCUGGUCUGUGGUUCUCUGACGGUGGAACAAGGCACCAAAACCUUUGUUUUCUGUAGAACUAUUUUCAUAGUGUUACAGUAACAAGUCUAUGGCUGAAAUUAAAAGCUCAAACCUUUCUAAUCCGUUCAUACAACUUGUCAAAUAUAUUCAUGUGCGCGUUUAUUGCUGGCACAACUUCAAAGCACUAUGGAUAUUGGAAAUUAAUGCAUACCCUCUAACCAAUCUGUGCUGUGGAUUCAAUUUAGGUCACGGUUUAAAUGUACAGAGUAUUGUUCUUUCAAAAAGAAACGCUGAGUCAACAGAGUCAUUCUGUUGAUAUUCAGACUCAUUUAGCAAAGAGAGAGAGAGAGACUGGCCCGCCUCUGAUAGCAUUCAUCUGAAGGAAAGAAAUGCA